rnacentral:rRNA from 2 species
GAUUUCUGGUUUGGCGCGCCUGGCCCGCCACGGUUACGUGUGUGAGUGCCGGGACGCGCCUGCCAUCCUUCUAGUGAACUAUUCUGCCCUUCAUUGGGUGGGAUAGGUAGCUAGAUCUUUUACUUUGAAAAAAUUAGAGUGUUUAAAGCAGGCGUUUGCUAUGAAUACAUUAGCAUGGAAUAAUAACUUAGGACUUCGGUUCUAUUUUGUUGGUUUCUAGGACUGAAGUAAUGAUUGAUAGGGAUAGUUGGGGGUGCUAGUAUUCAGUGGCCAGAGGUGAAAUUCUCGGAUUCACUGAAGACUAACUUAUGCGAAAGCAUU